GACAGGUGCUGCUGGCUUUCAGGGUCUAUAGGGAAGACCCAGGUGAAAAGGCAAGUUGACUAUUCCUGCAGCAAAGGGCCUCCAUCAAGCAUCAUGAGGCCAUAAAAUGCCAGCUCCUUGAGAAGAAAAUGAUUCUUCUUCAGACUGUGGUCCACUCCUCAACGAUAUCUUAUGUAACAACUGAGGAUGAGAGAGGUGAAAUGAUUGGCUGUACAUGGGGAGAGCCUUCUAUCAAAACUUCUCUCUCUCUCUCCUCUACCAAGUGUUACCCACCCUAGAGUUUAUCAGAUAAAAUUCUAUGCAGUGGCGACUACUGGCUAGACACUGGAGUGGUGUUAUUAUAGAGGACACAAACAGGUAAACAUAUACUUACAAUAUAAUAUGAUAUGGGCUGUAACAAAAUUUAGCACAAGAUAUAAAGUGAUGUGGAGAAAGGAAUAGUGCCUUCUGUGUGUAUGUGCAUUCAUGUAUGUGUGUGUCUUGUAUAAGGCAGGAUGGAUUCAGAGAGAGGUGUUGUUCAGAAUUUCACAAGGGAGGACUUCUUGAUUUGGAUUUUAUUAUAAGAUCAAGGAGUUCAGCAGGUAAACAAGGAAGAGAAGAACAUUUUAAGCAUAUCCAAUAGGGAGUGUUAAAUAUAAGGAGGCAUGAGAUGGCAUGGUAUAUUUAGGGAGCCACAGUGGCUUGGUGUUGGUAUAGUCUAGAGUGUUUAGGAGCAGCUGAUGAUGAGGCUGGAGUAGGAGUCGGGAGGCAGGUGAUGGCUGGGAACAUGCUUUUAUGCUCCUAAGGCAGUUGCUUUAGAUCCAUCAGCUAGUGUUUUCCAUCAUGGAAUGUUGCAUCUAGGGGC